AUUGAACGCUGGCGGCAGGCCUAACACAUGCAAGUCGAGCGGAGCGGCGGACGGGUGAGUAAUGCCUAGGAAUCUGCCUGGUAGUGGGGGAUAACGUCCGGAAACGGGCGCUAAUACCGCAUACUAUCAGAUGAGCCUAGGUCGGAUUAGCUUGUGGGUGGGGUAAAGGCCUACCAAGGCGACGAUCCGUAACUGGUCUGAGAGGAUGAUCAGUCACACUGUAACGGAGACACGGCCCUACCUCCUCCGGCAGGCCGCAGUGGGGAAUUUUGUACAGUGGGCGAAAGCCUGAUCCAGCAAGGCCGCGUGUGUGAAGAUGGUCUUCGGAUUUUAAACCUCUUUAAGUUGGGCGGGUUUACCAAAAGAAUAAGCACCGGCUAACUUCGUGCCAGCAGCCGCGGUAAUGC
rnacentral:rRNA from 1 species